CUAGGCGCCCUAGGCAGCCUACCUCCACGGACGCGCGGAGCGAGAGAAAGCUUCAGGCGUUCCGUUCAUGGGCCGACUUAGCACGUAACACGUACUUUGCUACAGUCUCUGGUGACAAGGUGACAAGAUGAAUCCUUGCCUCGUUCUCACAAAGCUGUUUACAGUUACGAACUUCAAGCCAAAGUAGGCAGACGGCUUUCAUUCCACUUCAAAAUGGAUCGAGCCACGCUGCUGUUCCUCAUCUUCGCUUGUCUCACGCUGGCAACUCACGGCAACAAUGUGACUGAUUGUCAUGCCGUCAAGUGCGCUUGGAUGGAAGAAAAAAUCUGCCCUGGGGAAUUCUUUCAGAAAGAACCCAGUAUUGGCAAAUGCUGUCCAUUUUGUUUGGUGAUAGUGGAGGGAGGACACUCUUGUAUAUCAACACAUCCUGGCUUCCACAUCGUCUGCAGGAAUCCAUACAAUUGCCAUGAUGGCGUCUGUUCCAAGUUACUUUAAGGAGAAAUAUGUACAUACAUACAGCACUUAUGUUAUAAUCGUAGCAUUUUUUCAAUAAUAUCAUUCAAAAUUAAAAUCUCCUCCAGUUUAAAAA